GUGGGGAAUCUUCCGCAAUGGACGAAAGUCUGACGGAGCAACGCCGCGUGAGUGAAGAAGGUUUUCGGAUCGUAAAGCUCUUUCGUUAGGGACGAACGUGCUCUUUGUGAAUAAUGAGGAGUAAUGACGGUACCUAAAUAAGAAGCCACGGCUAACUACGUGCCAGCAGCCGCGGUAAUACGUAGGUGGCAAGCGUUGUCCGGAAUUAUUGGGCGUAAAGCGCGCGCGGGCGGGAUAUCAAGUCUGUCUUAAAAGUGCGAGGCUCAACCUCGUGAGGGGACAGAAACUGGUAUUCUUGAGUGUCGGAGAGGAAAGUGGAAUUCCAAGUGUAGCGGUGAAAUGCGUAGAGAUUUGGAAGAACACCAGUGGCGAAGGCGACUUUCUGGACGAUGUCUGACGCUGAGGCGCGAAAGCUAGGGGAGCGAACGGGAUUAGAAACCCUAGUAGUCC
rnacentral:rRNA from 1 species